rnacentral:rRNA from 1 species
AAGUCGAACGGUAACAGGAAGAAGCUUGCUUCUUUGCUGACGAGUGGCGGACGGGUGAGUAAUGUCUGGGAAACUGCCUGAUGGAGGGGGAUAACUACUGGAAACGGUAGCUAAUACCGCAUAACGUCGCAAGACCAAAGAGGGGGACCUUCGGGCCUCUUGCCAUCGGAUGUGCCCAGAUGGGAUUAGCUAGUAGGUGGGGUAACGGCUCACCUAGGCGACGAUCCCUAGCUGGUCUGAGAGGAUGACCAGCCACACUGGAACUGAGACACGGUCCAGACUCCUACGGGAGGCAGCAGUGGGGAAUAUUGCACAAUGGGCGCAAGCCUGAUGCAGCCAUGCCGCGUGUAUGAAGAAGGCCUUCGGGUUGUAAAGUACUUUCAGCGGGGAGGAAGGGAGUAAAGUUAAUACCUUUGCUCAUUGACGUUACCCGCAGAAGAAGCACCGGCUAACUCCGUGCCAGCAGCCGCGGUAAUACGGAGGGUGCAAGCGUUAAUCGGAAUUACUGGGCGUAAAGCGCACGCAGGCGGUUUGUUAAGUCAGAUGUGAAAUCCCCGGGCUCAACCUGGGAACUGCAUCUGAUACUGGCAAGCUUGAGUCUCGUAGAGGGGGGUAGAAUUCCAGGUGUAGCGGUGAAAUGC